rnacentral:lncRNA from 1 species
CACAAUCAGGUCCCAUUCUAUAGAUGGGGAAACUGAGGCUUGAGGUCACAUAGGCACCAGUCGAGGCCGGUAUCCCUGCACCCUCUCCCAUGUGAACAACAUGGUUCUGGGUAAUGGGGGCUGUUAUCCUGUCUCCUCCCUGCUCCUGCUGGUGCACUUCCUGCCUCUACUGGUGCACUUUCUGCCACUACUGGUAUAUUUGCUGCCUCUGCUGGGGCGCCUCCUGCCUCUGCUGGUGUAUCUCCUGCCCCUGCUGGUGCACUUUCUGCCCCCGCUGAUGCACUUCCUGCCUCUGCUGGUGCACUUCCUGGCUCUGCUGGUGCACUUCCUGCCCUUGCUGGUGUAUUUCCUGCCCCUGCUGGUGUACUUCCUUCCCCUGCUGGUGCACUUCCUGCCUCUGCUGGUGCACUUCUUGCCUCUCCAGGCCCUACCUAGCCUCUCCCUCUUAUAUAUGGAAGUCUUCCCAGCUCACUGACACUGGUAACAGGGACUCUGCUCUUGGUGUUGCUGUCUGCCCUGGGGAUGGGCAUCUGUGUCUUUCGUUACUACUGCUGGCUCAGGGCCCAGAGCUUUGAAGCAUGUCCAGAUGCAGGUCCAGGUACCGGAGUCUAAGGAGCCCCCACACCCACCAGGAUUUUCCAAUAAAGAGAUGUUCACCAAUG